AAACUAUUAAUUUAUUGUUAAAGUACUUGACUCUCAAUCAAUGAACCGUAGGUUCUAUCCCUAUUGAGUAUU
rnacentral:tRNA from 1 species